CAGGAAGAGAUGGUAAUGUUGUUUUCUAUGGGACCAGACAGGAAGAGAGGUGGUAAUGUUGUUUUCUAUGGGACCAGACAGGAAGAGAUGGAGGUGGUAAUGUUGUUUUCUAUGGGACCAGACAGGAAGAGAGAUGGUAAUGUUGUUUUCUAUGGGACCAGACAGGAAGAGAGAUGGUAAUGUUGUUUUCUAUGGGACCAGACAGGAAGAGAUGGUAAUGUUGUUUUCUAUGGGACCAGACAGGAAGAGAUGGUAAUGUUGUUUUCUAUGGUACCAGACAGGAAGAGAUGGUAAUGUUGUUUUCUUCUGUGAUGAAAUGUAAAGUGCCUUCGGAAAGUAUACAGACCCCUUGACUUUUUCCACAUUUUGUUACGUAACAACCUUAUUCUAAAAUUGAUUUUAAAAAAUUGUUUCCUCAAUCACAAUACCUCAUAAUGACAAAGAAAAAACGGGUUUUUAGACAUUUUUGCUAAUUUAUUCAAAAUAAACUGAAAUAUCAUACUUACACAAGUAUUCAGACCCUUUACUCAGCACUUUGUUGAAGCACCUUUAGCAGCGAUUACAGCCUCCAGUCUUCAUCGGUAUGAAGGUAACUUGGCACACCUGUAUUUGGGGAGUUUCUCCCAUUCUUCUCUGCAGAUCCAAGCUAUGUCAGGAUCGAUGGGGAGCGUCGCUGCACAGCUAUUUUCAGGUCUCCAGAGAUGUUCGAUCGGGUUGGUGCCAGAUUUCCUCCAGACGUGACACUUGGCAUUCUGGCUAAAGAGUUCAAUCUUGGUUUCAUCAGACCAGAGAAUCUUGUUUCUCAUGGUCAGAGUCCUUUCGGUGCAUUUUGGUAAACUCUAAUGUAAAUAUAAAUAAGGUAUUUCUGUUUUGUAUUUGUUUUUACAUUUGCCCAAAAUAAAAAUAAAAACAGUUUUUGCUUUGUCAUUAUGGGGUAUUGUGUGUAGAUUGCUGAGGAUUUUUAUUUAUUUAAUCAAUUUUUGAAUAAGGCUAUAACAUAACAAAAUGUGGAAAAAGUCCAGGUGUCUGAAUACAUUCCAAAGGCACUGUGUACUUCCUAAAUGUCACCCUGUUCCCUUUAUAGUACACUACUUUUGACCAGGGUAGUGCACUAUAAAAGGACUAGGGUGCCAUUUGGGAUAGACGAUAUACUGUAAUAUUUGUUGAAGGAAUGAUAUGAUUGGAC
ensembl:lncRNA